GUACACGCUGUGACUAGCAUAUCAAUAAGCGGAGGAAAAGUCAACUACCUACGCUUAGGAUGUUGACACACGCGCGUGCUCGAUGAUAGUCUAUACAUGACUCUGUGCAUAUCAAUAAGCGGAGGAAAAGAAACUAACAAGGAUUCCCCUAGUAACGGCGAGUGAAGCGGGAAGAGCUCAAAUUUGAAAUCUUAAAGGGUUUCCCUUUACGAAUUGUAGUUUAAAGAAGUGUUUUCUGUUGAGGUUUUGGUAAAAGUUCUUUGGAAUAGGACAUCAUAGAGGGUGAGAAUCCCGUAUUUGACCUUUACUUUCAACUUUGUGAUACACUUUCAAAGAGUCGGAUUGUUUGGGAAUGCAGUCCAAAAUGGGUGGUAAAUUUCAUCUAAAGCUAAAUAUUGGCGAGAGACCGAUAGCGAACAAGUACCGUGAGGGAAAGAUGAAAAGAACUUUGAAAAGAGAGUUAAACAGUACGUGAAAUUGUCAAAAGGGAAGCGUUUGACACCAGUGUUGUUUUUCUGAAAAUCAAUUAAAGAACUGUUUAUGCUAAGUUGUUUAGACUUUAUCAGCUAACUGUUUAGUUUUGAGCUUUUCUUUAAUGCACUUUUCAGUUAACAAGUCAACAUCAAUUUCUUUUGUUGUAAAAAAGCUUGAGGAAGGUGGCUUGAGAUUCGUCUUAAGUGUUUAUAGCCUCUUGCCUAUGCAGUCGGAGAGAUUGAGGUCUGCAGCGUAGAUCCUUCGGGGCUAAAUGCAUUUGUGCUAAGUUAUAGCAUUUUAUAGACAACUUGUUGACUAUGAUUUGUCUUGUAGCUUACUCGCUUAUGUUAUUUUACCUACGCUUAGGAUGUUGAAGAUGUAGCACAUCAU
rnacentral:rRNA from 1 species